GAUUAUAUUCCUACGGGAAGCAGCAGUGAGGAAUUUUCACAAUGGACGAAAGUCUGAUGGAGCAAUACCACGUGAACGAUGAAGGUCUUCUGAUUGUAAAGUUCUUUUAUUUAGGAAAAAAAGCGCGCUAGGAAAUGAGCGCGCCUUGAUGGUACUAAUUGAAUAAGUGACAGCUAACUAUGUGCCAGCAGCUGCGGU
rnacentral:rRNA from 1 species